AUUUGCAUCAUGCUGUAAUUUUGUUUUCCAAUAUUUUGAUCAAAAAUAAUUUUUAUUUGGAUUUCAAAGUACGCACUACGCCGCGCAGUUAGAAAUCGUAAUUAGGAAAUUUGAGAUUUAAUCAAAUUUUAUUGCGGAAUCCCUAUUUUCACAUAUGAGUCAAUAAUUGCAGUCGCAUCUCUUUUCGUUGUUGCUUGUUGCUCUCAGCACAGAGCUUCAAUGCUCACACCGUAUAUUUAGUUGAUAGUAAAGUAUUAUAGUAGCUGUUUCGUUGCACAUUGAAAUACAAAUAUAACUAAACGAUCUUGAGAGGUUAUUUAAUGUAAUCGAUUUAGUGUUACUGCCUUUUAGCUGUGAUGUGCUGGAGACUACUAAAACUUGUUCUAGUACAGAAAAUCACAGCGGAUUUUGCUAUCAUGUUACACGUUUGUAGAUCAGGAUCGAAUUUGAAAGUUUUACUCCAAUCAUUAUUUCAAUCAUGCAUCAUAUGAAAAUUACGAUAACCCAUUCGAGCCUUUUUUAAAUGUGUUUAUGUUUUUGAAAAAGUAUAUUACUGUGAUACUUCCAUGCAUUAAAUCGUUUAAAUGGUACGGUAAAGAACAGUACACAGAUACUUAUUCUUUGAUGCCCGAAACACAUUCCUAGCUCUAGAUCUGCUUUACAUUUAAAUAAUGGCUCUUUCAUCACAUUUGCUUGAUAACUGCUGAUUUGUAAUGCUUAAUUGAUCCCACUCAGAUUGACUAUCUUAGGUUAGCUGUAAUAUCGAACUCGACAGUAGCUUCCUCUGUCAUGUCGGAGAUCUCAGGAGACGACUGGGCAUUUUGUGUCAAAAAGAGGUUAACCUUCCACUUAACCAGAUAAACAUCAAAUUCAUAGGAGUGCACGUGUUCGCACCCGAAGACGCCCUGGACCGAUCCGAGUGCUGAUGAGGUGUGGGGUAGUGAAGGAGUUGACAGAAACUGUAGUGACUUUAGAGAAACCUAUCACUGAUGGAAAAGUGACGCUCACCCAAACAACUGCUUGGCAACCAAAUACCCAUCACUGUCACUUACGAGGGGAUAACGAGGGGAUAAAGGUUCCAACUUUUAUUUUUUGUAAUAUCUGAUUUAUUCAAGUUAACUCUGUUUUAAGUUUUGUUGUAGUUCAUUCAGAUAUAUUCAACAUGUGCAUAUUAAAUUUGUAUUAAUGACAUCCCCUCAGGUUACUGACACACCAAACUUUGCAACCGCCCACGUCUGCAAAGUUAACGCUAAGGCCAACCAGAGACCGUUUAACCCAGAGGACUUCUCUGAUGACAGAGAUGUGGAAAAGACUACGUCCUUCUCUGGAAAACUACAAGGACAAAAUACCCACCUUCUUCGGGAAAUAGUCCAUCAUAUGCGAAAGAGAGAUUUCCAAGGGUAAAGAUACAGUUAAACUGCGGAGGCCCAACACCAAAAAUAACCUUCUCCUGGUCGGCAGUGUCCCUCAUCCUGCACUUGACCCCCGCAGAGGUCAGAAGCCCAUAGGAGCACAAAUGAGCGAGAAACGGGAAAGCCUUAGCUACCGGGCCAAGGACUGCAUCACUAGCACCUACCUAUUGAACCUAUCGAUAGGUUUAGAAGUAGGCAUCUUCACGGCCAUCACGCAAUCUGCGGAACACCUCCUAGCGGCGAAAUACGGAUAUUCCCUCCCUUUUACGUGCGUUUAACCGGCACCCGAACCACACGCUGUUUCAACUGGCAUCGGCAAGUGGCGACACUGUAGACUCAACCCUGAGCUUGAUCAGAAUCUUCAGUCACAAACUUGACACCGUUCCGGGGCUGGUUUUCUGUCAGGCGCCCCAGCAGUCUCUCUUGGACCACCAUCUGAUCUGACAAUCACCCGAGGAUACCUGCCAGAGCUCGCAAUUUACGACGAGUUAGCUUAUGGCA